rnacentral:lncRNA from 1 species
GGAUUUUGAAACUCUGCAGGCCCAUAAUUUUCCUGCAAUGCUUUAACAAGUUCUUCCCAAUAGAGCAAAGUUCGUUCACGAUUGAUCCAAGAGAAGAGAUCAAGCGCAUCACCUUCCAGAUACAUAGCAGCAAUGUCAACUUUGUGUUCAUCUGGAGUUUGAUAGUAGCAGAAAUAUUUUUCUGCCUUCAAAAUCCAACCCCUAG